rnacentral:rRNA from 1 species
GACGUAGGGGGCAAGCGUUGUCCGGAAUCAUUGGGCGUAAAGCGCUCGUAGGUGGAUCGGUAAGUCUGCAAAGAAAGACCCGGGCUCAACUCGGGGAACGGUGUGGAUACUACCGAUCUUGAGGCAAUCAGAGGAUGAUGGAAUUCCCGGUGUAGCGGUGAAAUGCGUAGAUAUCAGGAGGAACACCGAUGGCGAAGGCAGGUCUCUGGGCAUUAACUGACGCUGAGGAGCGAAAGCAUGGGGAGCGAACAGG